GCCAGUACACUAAACAGCUAUCAUGUAGUUCCAGAAAGACUAUUAUAUUGGUUAGUCGGGUAAGCCUUGCUGAGUACCCCGUACUCAGGGUUAUCCCUUGUGGCUGUUUCAGAAGCACCGCAGGAGCCCGUAGAGGAGGAAGCCCCGGAAAACUAGGGUAUUGUUAUGAGUCUCGCAAUACCCUCAGAAGGAAAAACUCUUAUGUGCAUCUCCCACCUGGACCAGUUUAUGUUUAAAACUCCU
rnacentral:lncRNA from 1 species